GAUGAACGCUGGCGGCGUGCCUAAUACAUGCAAGUCGAGCGAACAGACGAGGAGCUUGCUCCUCUGACGUUAGCGGCGGACGGGUGAGUAACACGUGGAUAACCUACCUAUAAGACUGGGAUAACUUCGGGAAACCGGAGCUAAUACCGGAUAAUAUAUUGAACCGCAUGGUUCAAUAGUGAAAGACGGUUUUGCUGUCACUUAUAGAUGGAUCCGCGCCGCAUUAGCUAGUUGGUAAGGUAACGGCUUACCAAGGCAACGAUGCGUAGCCGACCUGAGAGGGUGAUCGGCCACACUGGAACUGAGACACGGUCCAGACUCCUACGGGAGGCAGCAGUAGGGAAUCUUCCGCAAUGGGCGAAAGCCUGACGGAGCAACGCCGCGUGGGUGAUGAAGGUCUUCGGAUCGUAAAACUCUGUUAUUAGGGAAGAAGAAAUGUGUAAGUAACUAUGCACGUCUUGACGGUACCUAAUCAGAAAGCCACGGCUAACUACGUG
rnacentral:rRNA from 1 species